ACGUAGGGAGCAAGCGUUAUCCGGAUUUAUUGGGUGUAAAGGGUGCGUAGACGGGAGAUUAAGUUAGUUGUGAAAGCCCUCGGCUUAACUGAGGAAUUGCAACUAAAACUGGUUUUCUUGAGUGCAGGAGAGGUAAGUGGAAUUCCUAGUGUAGCGGUGAAAUGCGUAGAUAUUAGGAGGAACACCAGUGGCGAAGGCGACUUACUGGACUGUAACUGACGUUGAGGCACGAAAGUGUGGGGAGCAAACAG
rnacentral:rRNA from 1 species